GGAGCUUGCUCCUGGAUUCAGCGGCGGACGGGUGAGUAAUGCCUAGGAAUCUGCCUGGUAGUGGGGGACAACGUUUCGAAAGGAACGCUAAUACCGCAUACGUCCUACGGGRGAAAGCAGGGGACCUUCGGGCCUUGCGCUAUCAGAUGAGCCUAGGUCGGAUUAGCUAGUUGGUGAGGUAAUGGCUCACCAAGGCGACRAUCCGUAACUGGUCUGAGAGGAUGAUCAGUCACACUGGAACUGAGACACGGUCCAGACUCCUACGGGAGGCAGCAGUGGGGAAUAUUGGACAAUGGGSGAAAGCCUGAUCCAGMC
rnacentral:rRNA from 1 species